AGGUGGUUAAUGCAGAUAGUAUUGCAGAAGGUACGUGGAAUCGUGGAUAUACGAGUGGGCCCCGUCCGCUAGUAGUUCGAGUUCCUGACAAUCCUUCUUCUAACACAGUUAUCGUCACUUUACAUUCUGGUAACACACAAACCAAUCCUGGGUUUCAAGUUACUUAUAGAAUAGUUUGGUAAGUGCAUAUGAUAUAUAAUCACACUUUUUUAAGAGAAUGGUAUUGAUAUUGCAGUUGAAGAGAUUUUGAUACUGUUGCAGAAUCAAUGCUUAAGUUAAUAAAAAAAAGACAUGAACAUAUAUAACGGACGUAGACGAACAACUGUUUACAAAACUUACACAUAUGUUAGUGAGUGCACGAAUUUAAAUGAUGGAGGGCUUUGACAAGACAAGAUUCAUCUAUUUCGGAAAACGGGGAAAAUCGAAUGUCCGUGCAACAUAGAUUACUUACAUGAUAAUGAUUUUUCAAUGCAGAACAAGAACUUACGAAAAAUCAUAAAGAGAAAAAUAAUGAAAAUACACAUCUGAAGUUUUAUAAUGCUAGUAUCAAAACCCUACAGAACAACAAUAUUACAGUAAAGUUUAUAGCUUCUUAAUAUUUAUUGCCUACGUUGAAACGGCGUCACAUCCUCCUAACUAACUACCAUUCCAUUCAUUUGUAAUUUCUAUCGUAUUCAGUUUAUAUAUUAUUUAUACUAUAAAUAAAUCUUAAAACCCAGUGGCUAUAAUAAAUAUCAAAUUAUCAUGGUAUUCAGAAUCAUCAAUAAAUAUGUACAAUUUGACGUUGACAUAUUACUCGGAUGUAUGCAACAGAUUUGUAUAUCGUGUUAUGAUGUUAUUAUUUCUCAUCUACAAAAUUGCCUAUCCAUGUAGAAGUUCAAUCAAAAGGUCAGUUUUAUCUUGUCCAAUAGAAACCUCUAUUCGUGACCCCAAACACAAUGAUAUUGCGAAAUUGUGUUAUACAUUUUGUAAAACAAAGGACUGGUUGUUUAGAUAUACUGAUUAUAUUAGUUAUUUCAAGGCUUCCAUAUAUAUUUCAAACAGUAUUUUGUUUUUCAAUUUACACAGUUAAGGAUGGACAUGUCCCAAAGUCAUAAAUAUUUUAAUUAUACGAAAACAAUCUGUAUCUGUGUUUUAUUUCAUUUUCAUUUUUCAACUCUAUUUGUAUUUUACAGAUGACAGACCUGCACAUACAUAAACACGUGGAACUACAGCCAGUAAGAACUAACUGUUGAAAUAAAAACUAAAU
rnacentral:lncRNA from 1 species